AAUGUUUGACACCGUUGAUUUUUUAGCACAUGUUUGACCGUUCGUCUUAUUCAAAAAAUUUAAGUAAUUAUUAAUUCUUUUCUUAUCAUUUGAUUCAUUGUUAAAUAUAUUUUUAUGUAGGCAUAUAAUUUUUUAAUAAUUACUUAAAUUUUUUGAAUAAGACGAACGGUCAAACAUGUGAUAAAAAGUCAACGGCGUCAAACAUU
rnacentral:pre_miRNA from 1 species